UCCGAUCUAAAUAUGUCAAUAACUGGUACACUUACCUUACACAUUAUUCAAGAAUAUUCUCUAUAUUUAUCGAACAGUCUAGAAUGUUUCCAGAACUUUCAAGAGCAUUCGAAACUUUCCUGAAAUUGUUUAGAAUCAUUAAUCGACAACUGAGAGCUUAAAGACAAAUCGAAGGGUACUGAGACCAAUGGGAAAUAAAGAGCAACUAAACAAUAAUUUACAAUAAACUGAAGUACGUCUGAGGGAACUGCAACAAAAGAACCGGAGUAGAGUCCACUCCGCGCUGGUUCUCUGGCAACUGCGUUUUAUGCAUAAUUUGGAAAUAUGCUAGGCUGCACAUACGGCGAGUGGGAGGGAAAAUCAGGUAUGUCCGAAAUAAACAAUAAAACAAUGGAAAGACCCUCGCGGUCUCCUAAAUGCGGGAAAAAACCCGCACCAGCAUUCUGGGGUACUCUUAGACGAUUGUAUUGUUGCUAAAAUGCGUAGUUAUUGUCUACGGCUACAUCCAAGGUACACUUGGGGACAAUGAAUCUGAGACGGAUAAUUUUUUAAACUAGACAGUUAUGUUGGCAACACAGAGAAACCUACAGCGCCAUAGUCGGCUGAGCGCGAAACUAACUCAGUCUCAAUAAACGUAACAUAACCCAUGACCGUCGAAUCCAACCUUAUAAUACGUGUCAAUCUAACAAGACAUUAUCUCCGCGGUAUUCUAAGAUUAGAUUCGAUGGUCAUGGAUUAUGUUACGUUUAUUGAGAUUGAGUUUGUUUCGCGCGCGGCCGACUGUGGCGCUGCAGGCUUCUCUGUGUUGCCAACAUAACUACCUAGUCUAAAAAAUUAUCAGCCUUGGACUUAUUGACCCCAAGUGUACAUCGUCCCGAAACGCGGUUAUUGUCUUACCGAAUAUGCUGCGAUUGCCCGUCCAAGAAAGCAGAGUCAGACUAUGAGCUGAACUGGGUCUUUCCUCCCUUCCAAAUGUGUGUAAAGUCUCGUUCGUCAGCCUAGUCAUUUCUUCGGAAAUUAUAUCAAACUGCGCAAUAAAUUGUAAAAACAGAAUAUUUGGGCAUGCAGGACCGAACAAAUUUUAAAUUAUAUUUUUAAAUAUUACGCUCGUAAUGGCAAUUUAUUUUGUCUUUACAUCUAUCUUGUA